AUUGAACGCUGGCGGCAUGCUUUACACAUGCAAGUCGAACGGCAGCGCGGGCUUCCUCCUGGCUGCGAGUGGCGAACGCGUGCGUAAUGCUUCUGAACGUGCCCAGUAGGGGGGGAUAGCCCUGCCAAAGCCGGAUUAAUACCGCUUACGACCUGUGUGUGAGAACGGGGGCCGGAAAGGCUUCGCGCUAUUGUUGCGGCCGAUGUCGGAUUAGCUAGUUGGUGGGGUAAAGGCUUACCAAGGCGACGAUCCGUAGCUGGUCUGAGAGGACGACCAGCCACACUGGGACUGAGACACGGCCCAGACUCCUACGGGAGGCAGCAGUGGGGAAUUUUGGACAAUGGGGGCAACCCUGAUCCAGCCAUGCCGCGUGUGGGAAGAAGGCCUUCGGGUUGUAAACGGCUUUUGUCAGGGAAGAAAUCGUUUGGGCUAAUACCAAGGGGGGAUGACGGUACCGGAAGAAUAAGCACCGGCUAACUACGUG
rnacentral:rRNA from 1 species